AGAGUUUGAUCAUGGCUCAGAACGAACGCUGGCGGCAGGCCUAACACAUGCAAGUCGAGCGCGCUCUUCGGAGUGAGCGGCGGACGGGUUAGUAACGCGUGGGAACAUACCCUUUUCUACGGAAUAGCCUCGGGAAACUGAGAGUAAUACCGUAUACGCCCUUCGGGGGAAAGAUUUAUCGGAGAAGGAUUGGCCCGCGUUUGAUUAGAUAGUUGGUGGGGUAAUGGCCUACCAAGUCUACGAUCAAUAGCUGGUUUGAGAGGAUGAUCAGCAACACUGGGACUGAGACACGGCCCAGACUCCUACGGGAGGCAGCAGUGGGGAAUCUUAGACAAUGGGCGCAAGCCUGAUCUAGCCAUGCCGCGUGAGUGACGAAGGCCUUAGGGUCGUAAAGCUCUUUCGCCAGAGAUGAUAAUGACAGUAUCUGGUAAAGAAACCCCGGCUAACUCCGUGCCAGCAGCCGCGGUAAUACGGAGGGGGUUAGCGUUGUUCGGAAUUACUGGGCGUAAAGCGUACGUAGGCGGAUUGGAAAGUAUGGGGUGAAAUCCCAGGGCUCAACCCUGGAACUGCCCUGUAAACUAUCAGUCUAGAGUUCGAGAGAGGUGAGUGGAAUUCCAAGUGUAGAGGUGAAAUUCGUAGAUAUUUGGAGGAACACCAGUGGCGAAGGCGGCUCACUGGCUCGAUACUGACGCUGAGGUAC
rnacentral:rRNA from 1 species